rnacentral:rRNA from 1 species
CAGUCGCCACGGUAAUACGUAGGGUGCGAGCGUUAAUCGGAAUUACUGGGCGUAAAGCGUGCGCAGGCGGUUAUAUAAGACAGAUGUGAAAUCCCCGGGCUCAACCUGGGACCUGCAUUUGUGACUGUAUAGCUAGAGUACGGUAGAGGGGGAUGGAAUUCCGCGUGUAGCAGUGAAAUGCGUAGAUAUGCGGAGGAACACCGAUGGCGAAGGCAAUCCCCUGGACCUGUACUGACGCUCAUGCACGAAAGCGUGGGGAGCAAACUGGAUUAGAUACCCCUGUAGUCCCUGUCUCUUAUAC